GCACGAUAUUUUUAUUAAAGAAUUUCGGUUAUCGAUGGGGAUGCGUUCCAUUAGUUUGUUGGCGGGGUAACGGCCCACCAAGACUACGAUGGAUAGGGGUUCUGAGAGGAAGGUCCCCCACAUUGGAACUGAGACACGGUCCAAACUCCUACGGGAGGCAGCAGUGAGGAAUAUUGGUCAAUGGGCGAGAGCCUGAACCAGCCAAGUAGCGUGAAGGAUGAAGGCUCUAUGGGUCGUAAACUUCUUUUAUAUGGGAAUAAAGUUUUCCACGUGUGGAAUUUUGUAUGUACCAUAUGAAUAAGGAUCGGCUAACUCCGUGCCAGCAGCCGCGGUAAUACGGAGGAUCCGAGCGUUAUCCGGAUUUAUUGGGUUUAAAGGGAGCGUAGGUGGAUUGUUAAGUCAGUUGUGAAAGUUUGCGGCUCAACCGUAAAAUUGCAGUUGAAACUGGCAGUCUUGAGUACAGUAGAGGUGGGCGGAAUUCGUGGUGUAGCGGUGAAAUGCUUAGAUAUCACGAAGAACUCCGAUUGCGAAGGCAGCUCACUAGACUGUUACUGACACUGAUGCUCGAAAGUGUGGGUAUCAAACAGGAUUAGAUACCCUGGUAGUCCACACAGUAAACGAUGAAUACUCGCUGUUUGCGAUAUACAGUAAGCGGCC
rnacentral:rRNA from 1 species